rnacentral:rRNA from 1 species
GAUGAACGCUGGCGGCGUGCCUAAUACAUGCAAGUCGAGCGAACAGACGAGGAGCUUGCUCCUCUGACGUUAGCGGCGGACGGGUGAGUAACACGUGGAUAACCUACCUAUAAGACUGGGAUAACUUCGGGAAACCGGAGCUAAUACCGGAUAAUAUAUUGAACCGCAUGGUUCAAUAGUGAAAGACGGUUUUGCUGUCACUUAUAGAUGGAUCCGCGCCGCAUUAGCUAGUUGGUAAGGUAACGGCUUACCAAGGCAACGAUGCGUAGCCGACCUGAGAGGGUGAUCGGCCACACUGGAACUGAGACACGGUCCAGACUCCGACGGGAGGCAGCAGUAGGGAAUCUUCCGCAGUGGGCGAAAGCCUGACGGAGCAACGCCGCGUGAGUGAUGAAGGUCUUCGGAUCGUAAAACUCUGUUAUUAGGGAAGAACAAAUGUGUAAGUAACUAUGCACGUCUGGACGGUACCUAAUCAGAAAGCCACGGCUAACUACGU